CCUUUCGCUUUUAAGGAACGUGCCACCUAGACAAGUGUUCCAGCCUCCGGUGAACCAGUCUUCCUAGUGAGAGCACGAGAAGCCCGUUGUCCUUCAUUCCUCAGCUAUGGAUUUCCCUGAAAGUUGAGAACUGACCAUAUUCUCGAUGCCUCCUCCGACCUGUGAUUUCAUGACUCACAUCGCUUCCCCAGAACCUGCUUAACAGACGGGAUUCCUGAGAAUGGAGCAGAGUUUGAAUUCAGAGUCCUGGCUUUGCCAUACCAGCAGUUAUAAUUGUCCUUCUGUUGUUUGAUGACCUCCCUGCCCUGCUUCA
rnacentral:lncRNA from 1 species